rnacentral:lncRNA from 1 species
GUUUAGGGCCUCACUUGUAGCAUGUGGAGGUUCCCAGGGUAGGGGUUGAAUCGGAGCUACAGCUGCCAGCCUAUGCCACAGCCACAGCCACGCCAGAUCCAAGCCCCGUCUGCGACCUACACCACAGCUCACGGCAACACCGGAUCCUUAACCCACUGAGCGAGGCCAGUGAUCGAACCCGCAACCUCGUGGUUCCUAGUCGGAUUCGUUUCUGCUUAGUAGGGACUUCCUGCUGUGGCACAGUGGAAGUGAAUCCAAUUAGGAGCCAUGAAGCUGCUGGUUCGAUCCCAGGCCUUGCUCAGUGGGUUAAGGAUCUGGCCUUGCUGUGAGCUGUGGUGUAGAUUGUAGAUGCAGCUUGGAUCUGAUGUUGCUGUGGUGUAGGCUGGAAGCUAGCUGUAGCUCCGGUUUGACCCCUAGCCUGGGAAUCUCCACAUGCCCCGGGUGUGACCCUAAAAAGCAAAAUAAAUAAGAAAAUGUCAGAGUAACCAUUUUAAGUGACAUGGUCCUAGAAAAUAAUUCUGACAUGUUUACUCAAUGUGCUUCUGACCUGGGCCAUGCCUUGUGUGUAGGUUCUUUAUCCAUAAAACAUUGGAAAUGAGCAUAUGGCAUAAACUGGUGAAAGCUGGGGCCUUUAUUUCCCAGAUUCAGUACACAGGACCAGCUAGGGCCUGUCAGCAGCAGAUCCAAAAUUCCUUGAGUGAAUCUGCUUCGGGAGAAUGUGAACUAAAGCGGGUGUGAUCAGAAAGCCUUCACUUGGUGGUGUGAGGUGUAUUUUGUUAUUUUCUUGGUACUCGGUUUAACAUUAGUAGAUCAUCUCAUUUUUCCUGGGGAGACAGCCAGGUUGACCUUAGGCCUUUGCGGCAUUUCAUAGUUUUACAAAGUUAUUUAAGCUCUCUGGAUCAUCUUUCCUCAGCUGUAAAAUGAAAUGAACAGCAUCUACAGCAUGGAGCUAUGGUAAAAAUCAUGACCUGGCAGCAAAAAUUAUUCCAAACUUCUUUCUGAAAUAAAAUGAAGUAAACCGAACCAAGAGAAAGAUGAAAAGAUUAUGGCAUGUAAUAGGUGUUCAAUAAAUCUAAGUCCCUGAAUAAUAUUUUAUGUUUCUUCCCAUCUUACAGGGAGAAUUCCACCAUUCUAAUUGAUAAAUAUGUGAAAAUAACUCCCAACCACCAAUGGUGAGACAUCCCUCAGUAUCAAAGUAUUUCAUCUGCUUCAAAGUGAAGAUCUAUUGCAAAUUAAAACCGAAGGCACACAACUUCAAAGAGAAGUCCGACUUGAAUGGAAAAGAGAAAAAAAACCUGAAUAUAACGCUAAGUCUGGCAUGAGAUGAUGACUCAGAAAAUUGGACUUCAGGACUGUCCGUCAAUGGCUGCCUUGUGUACAGAAGGAGCUGAUUUCCUCCAAAUUAAUAGAAUGAUCCUUCUAUGCUUUCAGGAAUUGCCUGCAACUUGGCAAGAAAGAAGAGGCACACAUCAAAAUGGAGAAGAAAGAGGAAAAUAAGCAAAUGUGCUAGUGGCAGUGGUUGCAUUUUGGUUUCGCUCUCUUUUGAGUUCCUAGCAUUUCUUCUGCUUGGCAUCUGCAGUUGGCAGUCACUGAAGUGGUUGCUGCCUGAUGGAUGUGGUGAGACGAUUGCCAAUAAAUGAUCAUCUUUAUUGGCAAUAGUCUUCCCUUCACUUGUUCCUGCUAUGCAAAUAAUAUAGAACGAGCUGAAAUAUGUAUCCCUGAAACAAGUAAUGCGAGUACAGGUCUUCCUAAAGGAUACAUGAUUCUAUUGCCAACUACUCUUUUGAAUGUGUUUACCCACGGAUUUCCACAAAGGGAACCUCAAAACUCAUGCUAAUUUUUAAAAAUGUGAAUGUAUUUAUUUUUUAUUAAAGUAUAAUUGACUUACAAUGUUGUGCAAAUUUCUGCUGUAAGCAAAGUGAACCUCUUUAUAUACAUACAUUCUUUUUUUUAUACAAUCUUCCAUGAUGGUUUGUCCGAAGAGAUUGGAUAUAGUUCUCUGUGCUAUUCAGCAGGACCUCAUUGCUUAUCCGCUCUAAAAGCAAUAGUUUACUGCUAACUACCAACCCCGAAUUCCUAUUCCAUCCCACUCCUUUCCCCUCCCACCUUGGCAACCACAAGUCUGUUCUCUGUGUCUUUGAGUUGUCUUCUUUUUUGUGGGUAGGUUCAUUUGCGUCAUGCUGAUUAUUCCUUGUUAGGGACCCAGGACCAUUUUCCACUUUGCUCUCACCAGAGCCGCUGCAUUCGGAUUCUUAACCCACAGCACCCACAGUAGGAACUCCCUCCAAGGACCAUUCCUGUUGGAUGAGAAUUUCUCUCCUCUACUUCAGCUCACUGAGAGCUCUGUUAACAGCUUCCUCCUCUCAGCAUUUCAGCCUGAGGGCAGCAAAAGCCCCCCAGUUUACCCAUCUGAUUCUCAACGCCCUUUGUUGGCUUCUGUAAAAUUCCCUGCCUUACACUCUCUGAAAUUUGCAGCGGAGUGUAUGUCCUGCCUCCCAUGACGGUCUUGACUGAUACAUCCAAAAUCACACUAAUAGAUAACUAAAACGAGUUCCUUAUUUCAAUAAUGCAAUUAGAGUAAAAUUCUGCACUUUGGCAUAUGUCAUUUAAAAAAAAAAGCCAUUUAUUUGCCCACCUCACAUUAGACAGAGAGGCUGAAAGAUUCGAGGGUCAUAUGGAUCAAAUAUUUAAGAAAUAUCCAUGAGUUGUAUUAAGUUGUGUUUCUCUGCAUGGCGUUGUAUAAGAUAAAUAGGAUUUCCUGUGUGGUCAUUUAAGUGAUUUCCAAAGAUAAUGAUUUGGCAGUUUGGUCAUUCAGGGUGCUCUGUGAAGCCUGAUAAUGUGACCCAUUUACAGGCAGAUGCUGGAAAAACAGUUGGUAUUUGAACCCUUAGUGUCCCAGGUAAUUACAGUCAUCAUUUUUUAAAUCUCUUCAGAACCUUCACCGCCCUUUAGCCCUUCACCUGCUCAAGAAACAGAGCAAGACCUCAAUUUGUUCAAAUGUCGCGAGCAAAUGGGAGUAACUUACAGAUAUUGGUUUAGGACAUUUAAAAAAAUUCAAUAGGGAGUUCCCAUCAUGGCUCAGCAGAAAUGAAUCUGAAUAGCAUCCAUGAGGACACAGGUUCCAUCCCUGGCCUCACUCAGUGGGUUAAGGAUCUGGCCUUGCUGUGAACUGUGGUAUAUGUCAGCAGCUGCAGCUCUGAUUCAACCCCUCCCCUGGGAAUAUCUACAUGCCUUGGGUGCAGCCUUAAAAAGACAAAAAAAAAAAAAAAAAAAAAUUGGAUAGGUUUUAAUGUACAUCAUGGAAAUGAAAUGUAACCCUAAUCAGUCACUCUCCCUGUCAAAAAUCAAUUAGUAAGGAGAAUAAUUUUGUGCAACUUUGAGAAAUAGUAAUAGGAAGAAGCAGGAAGGGUAGAAAUUAAUCAAAUGACAGUGGGCCUUAUAGCUAGAAAAAGGCCAUCCCAGGAUAAGUGCCCAGAGCCGGGGGCCAUGGACCACACACCACACACAGGCUUAACAGCCCUUCCGCCCUUUCCAUUCUGUUUCCUCACACAACAUCCACAGAAAUGUUCACAGGACGGAAGAGCAACCAAUGGGAGCUUAAAAGGUUGAGAGAGAGGGAAAGGGGGAGAGAAUGAGAAGGAAAGCAGCUAGCGUUUAUUUGACUCUCAUAAUUUAUUAAUGGCUUUAAUGAAAUGCAAUAACUUUGGAUGACAUGAAAACAAGAAGAUGAGAAUAAAAACAGCUGCAAUGAUCACAAUAAAUGUCCCCAUAUUACGAAGGUAAGCCUCUUAGAAAUACCUGCUUAAAUUCCUUAAGAUAAUACCGAACCUCAACUUGAAAACAGGAAAAUGCAGCUCACGCCAAGAAGCACUAAAAUAACACACUUUGAACUGAUACUCAGCUUUGCAGACAAGGAAGGCAAAAGGCAUUUAAAUAAAGUACCAUCUGACGCUUACUGAGGUAGGAGAUACAAAUUAAAAUAAUAAAUCUAAUGUUGGCAGGAGUUGCUAGGAGUCCUAUGAAUCGCUGUAAAUGAGUGCAAUGAACUUGGAAAACAACCACGCAAUCUUCAAUCAGAGUCAGACU